rnacentral:rRNA from 1 species
ACCGUGGUAAUUCUAGAGCUAAUACAUGCUAAAAACCUCGACUUCGGAAGGGGUGUAUUUAUUAGAUAAAAAACCAAUGCCCUUCGGGGCUCCUUGGUGAUUCAUAAUAACUUAACGAAUCGCAUGGCCUUGCGCCGGCGAUGGUUCAUUCAAAUUUCUGCCCUAUCAACUUUCGAUGGUAGGAUAGUGGCCUACCAUGGUCUUAACGGGUAACGGGGAAUUAGGGUUCUAUUCCGGAGAGGGAGCCUGAGAAACGGCUACCACAUCCAAGGAAGGCAGCAGGCGCGCAAAUUACCCAAUCCCAAUUCGGGGAGGUAGUGACAAUAAAUACUGAUACGGGGCUCUUUCGGGUCUCGUAAUUGGAAUGAGUACAAUCUAAAUCCCUUAACGAGGAACAAUUGGAGGGCAAGUCUGGUGCCAGCAGCCGCGGUAAUUCCAGCUCCAAUAGCGUAUAUUAAAGUUGUUGCCGUUAAAAAGCUCGUAGUUGAACCUUGGACCUGGCUGAUCUGUCCUCCUAAUCGAGCGCACGGAUUCGGUCGGGUCUUUCCUUCUGGGGAGCCCUAUGCCCUUCACUGGGUGUAGUGGGGAACCAGGACUUUUACCUUGAAAAAAUUAGAGUGUUCAAAGCAGGCCUUUGCUCGAAUACAUUAGCAUGGAAUAAUAGAAUAGGACAUCGGUUCUAUUUUGUUGGUUUCUAGGACCGCUGUAAUGAUUAAUAGGGAUAGUCGGGGGCGUCAGUAUUCAAUUGUCAGAGGUGAAAUUCUUGGAUUUAUUGAAGACUAACUACUGCGAAAGCAUUCGCCAAGGAUGUUUUCAUUAAUCAGUGAACGAAAGUUAGGGGAUCGAAGACGAUCAGAUACCGUCGUAGUCUUAACCAUAAACUAUGCCGACUAGGGAUCGGACGGUGGUUUUUUUAUGCCCCGUUCGGCACCUUACGAGAAAUCAAAGUUUUUGGGCUCGGGGGGGAGUAUGGUCGCAAGGCUGAAACUUAAAGAAAUUGACGGAAGGGCACCACCAGGCGUGGAGCCUGCGGCUUAAUUUGACCCAACACGGGGAAACUCACCAGGUCCAGACAUGCUUAGGAUUGACAGAUUGAUAGCUCUUUCUUGAUUGUAUGGGUGGUGGUGCAUGGCCGUUCUUAGUUGGUGGAGUGAUUUGUCUGCUUAAUUGCGAUAACGAACGAGACCUUGACCUGCUAAAUAGCCAGGCAAAAAAU